rnacentral:rRNA from 1 species
CGUAGGUGGCAAGCGUUGUCCGGAUUUAUUGGGUUUAAAGGGUGCGUAGGCGGUCUUGUAAGUCAGUGGUGAAAUCCGGCAGCUUAACUGUCGAUGUGCCAUUGAUACUGCAGGACUUGAGUACAGACGAGGUAGGCGGAAUUGACGGUGUAGCGGUGAAAUGCUUAGAUAUCGUCAAGAACACCGAUAGCGAAGGCAGCUUACUAGACUGUAACUGACGCUGAUGCACGAAAGUGUGGGGAUCAAACAGGAUUAGAUACCCUGGUAGUCCACACUGUAAACGAUGAUUACUCGAUGUUGGCGAUACACAGCCAGCGUCUUAGCGAAAGCGAUAAGUAAUCCACCUGGGGAGUACGCCGGCAACGGUG